UGACUUCACCUUUGCACUGAUUUUCAAGCCCUUAAAUCGGAAGAAAAUUAUCUUCGAAUUCAGGAUAAUGCAUUGACUGGAACACUCAUCUGUGGAUGUUGCCACCAAAGAGAAUUUGCAGAAUCUUGUGAAAGUGGGUGAAGAAUUGUUGAAGAAAUCAGUGUCAAGAGUUAAUUUAGGCACUGGAGUCUUCGAACCAAUUAAUAAGAUGACAAAUGAAGAGGCUCUCAUAAAGUUGGCUAAAUUACUCUCAAGGGAGAAGCAUCUUCGUGAGGCCAGGUCACCGGGUGGAAAUUAAAUCUACCACUUUAAAAUAAUUUGGCAAUUUGGUUCUUUGUUUCUAGAAAAUUAGUUAGAUGCUAAUAAAUUUGGAAGUAAUGAUUGUACUUAAUUGUUUAGAUUGCAAUUAAGCUUUUCUUCGAAUAAAGAUGCCAUG